rnacentral:tRNA from 1 species
GCCUGGGUGGCUCAGUAGGUUAAGCGACCAACUUCAGCUCAAGUCAUGAUCUCACAGUUCGUGGGUUCGAGCCCCACUUCGGGCU